AUAUAGAUAAGCUAAUUUAAGCUCUUAGACUCAUAAUCUAAUUAUAGUAAUUUUAAUUUACUUUUAUAUA
rnacentral:tRNA from 1 species